GGGUAACCUGCCCUAUGCUGGAUAAUAACCUCGGGAAACCGAGAAUAAUGAUCCAUAGUUCACUACGCCUGGAACGGUGAGUGGAUGAAAGCUCCGGCGGCAUAGGAUGGGCCUGCGGCGUAUCAGGUUGUAGGGGGUGUAACGUACCCUCUAGCCCUCUACGCGUACGGGUGUUGGGAGACAUAGCCCGGAGAUGGAUUCUGAGACACGAAUCCAGACCCUACGGGGUGCAGCAGGCGCGAAAACUUGGCAAUGCGAGAAAUCGUGACCAGGGAACUCCAAGUGCAUCGGGUAAGACCGGUGCUUUUCUUGACUCUAAAUAGGUCUUGGAAUAAGGGGUGGGUAAGGACGGUGCCAGCCGCCGCGGUAAUACCGGCGCCUCAAGUGGUAGUCGCUUUUAUUGGGCCUAAAACGUCCGUAGCCGGUCUGAUACAUUCGUGGGUAAAUCAACCAGCUCAACUGGUUGAAUUCUGCGAGGACGGUCAGACUUGGGACCGGGAGAGGUGUGGGGUACGCUCAGGGUAGGGGUAAAAUCCUGUCAUCCUGAGCGGACCACCUGUUGCGAAGGCGCCACACUAGAACGGAUCCGACGGUCAGGGACGAAGCCUAGGGGCACGAACCGGAUUAGAUACCCGGGUAGUCCUAGGUGUAAACGCUGUGGACUUGAUGUUGGGGGUGCUCCGAGCACUCUCAGUGUCGAAGCGAAGGUGAUAAGUCCACUGCCUGGGAAGUACGGUCGCAAGGCUGAAACUU
rnacentral:rRNA from 1 species